UCCGUGUUAACCACGGCAGUCUCUCUAGAGUGCCCAACUUAAUGCUGGCAACUAAAGACAAGGGUUGCGCUCGUUGCGGGACUUAACCCAACAUGUCACCACACGAGCUGACGACAGCCAUGCAGCACCUGUCUACCGGUCGUAUUGCUACGAAAGUCAUAUCUCUAUGAUUGUCCGGCGAUGUCAAACCCAGGUAAGGUUCUUCGCGUUGCUUCGAAUUAAACCACAUGAUCCACCGCUUGUGCGGGCCCCCGUCAAUUCCUUUGAGUUUUAGUCUUGCGACCGUACUUCCCAGGCGGGGUACUUAUUGCGUUAGCUCCGACUCGGCAGGGGUCAAGUCCCACCAAGUCUAGUACCCAUCGUUUACAGCGUGGACUAC
rnacentral:misc_RNA from 1 species